CAGGUAGACUGGAGGCAGGUAGACUAGGAGAAGGUAUACAAGGGGCAGGUAGACUGGAGGAAGGUAGACUGGAGGCAGGUAGACUAGGAGAAGGUAGACUAGGAGAAGGUAUACAAGGGGCAGGUAGACUAGGGGCAGGUAGACUAGGGGCGGCAGGUAGACUGGAGGCAGGUAGACUAGGAGAAGGUAUACAAGGGGAAGGUAGACUAGGGGCAGGUAGACUAGAGGAGGCAGGUAGACUAGAGGAGGCAGGUAGACUAGGAGAAUGUAUACAAGGGGCAGGUACACUAGGAGAAUGUAUACAAGGGGCAGGUAGACUAGGGGCAGCAGGUAGACUGGAGGCAGGUAGACUGGAGGCAGGUAGACUAGGCGCAGGUAGACUAGGGGCGGCAGGUAGACUGGAGGCAGGUAGACUAGGAGAAGGUAUACAAGGGGCAGGUAGACUAGGGGCAGGUAGACUAGGGGCGGCAGGUAGACUAGAGGCAGGUAGACUAGGAGAAGGUAGACUAGGGGCGGCAGGUAGACUAGGGGCGGCAGGUAGACUGGAGGCAGGUAGGCUAGGGGCAGGUAGACUAGAAGAGGCAGGUAGACUAGGGGCAGGUAGACUAGGGGUGGCACGUAGACCUGGAGGCAGGUAGACUAGGAGAAGGUAUACAAGGGGAAGGUAGACUAGGGGCAGGUAGACUGGAAGCAGGUAGACUAGGGGCAGGUAGACUAGGGGCGGCAGGUAGACUGGAGGCAGGUAGACUGGAGGCAGGUAGACUAGGGGCAGGUAGACUAGGG
ensembl:lncRNA